GCCUGGCAUGGUGGCGCAUGCCUGUAGCCUCAGAUACUUGGGAGGCUGAGGUGGGAAGAUCACUGGAGCCCAGGAGUUCCAAGCUGCAGUGAGCUACUAUCAUAUCUGUGAAUAGCCACUGUACUCCAGCCUGGGCAACAUAGGAAGAUCCCAUCUCUU
ensembl:misc_RNA Metazoa_SRP Metazoan signal recognition particle RNA